UACGUAGGGGGCAAGCGUUGUCCGGAAUCAUUGGGCGUAAAGCGCGCGUAGGCGGCCCGGUAAGUCCGUUGUGAAAGUCAAAGGCUCAACCUUUGAACGCCGAUGGAUACUGCCGGGCUAGAGUCCGGAAGAGGCGAGUGGAAUUCCUGGUGUAGCGGUGGAAUGCGCAGAUAUCUGGAGGAACACCGGUGGCGAAGGCGGCAUCCUGGACCGAGAUUGACGCUGAGGCGCGAAAGCUAGGGGAGCAAACGGG
rnacentral:rRNA from 1 species